rnacentral:hammerhead_ribozyme from 1 species
AUCCAGUCGACGAAUCCCAAACAGGAUGAAACACAUGUCCUAGAU